AUACGGAGGAUCCGAGCGUUAUCCGGAUUUAUUGGGUUUAAAGGGUGCUCAGGCGGGCCAUUAAGUCGGCGGUGAAAUUUUGCGGCUCAACCGUAAAAGUGCCUUCGAUACUGGUGGUCUUGAGUGUGGAUGAGGUAGGCGGAAUUUGUGGUGUAGCGGUGAAAUGCAUAGAUAUCACGAGGAACUCCGAUUGCUAAGGCAGCUUACUAAGCCAUAACUGACGCUCAAGCACGAAGGCGUGGGGAUCAAACAGGAUUAGAUACCCUGGUAGUCCACGCAGUAAACGAUGAUUACUGGCUGUUUGCGAUAUAUUGUAAGCGGCUGAGCGAAAGCGUUAAGUAAUCCACCUGGGGAGUACGUUCGCAAGAAUGAAACUCAAAUGAAUUGACGGGG
rnacentral:rRNA from 1 species